CUGGAGCUAGGGUUUGGGGAAAUUCUGGGAGACUCCCAAUUAGCUGAGCAGAUUAAGGUUUCUCCUGUUGCCUAAAGCUGAAGUCAGGCUUUGAGUGUUUGUUUUUAACCAUGUGACUCCAGGCAGCUCUCUAUCCAUUGGGGGACACUUCCUCUCAAAAUGUAGAGCUCUUUCUAGGCAGGGGAUCCUCUACAUCUCUUCAGGGCUCAGCCCAAUCUUCUGCCUCUUUGGAAAGAGUCCCUUGCAGCCAGAGAGAAGGAACUUUAAUUAAAAAAUGCCAAUGUUCCCUAUUCUCUGUCCUUGGUCAUUCAACCAAGCACCAGCUUGCCUUGGAGCCAGUUCCCUUGUUCAGUGACCUAUGACUGUUCUGCUCCAUUCACGGGGGUAGUUAGUGCUGUGAUUAGAGUUAUUGAACUCGGAGUCAGGAAGACCUGGGCUCAAAUUCUGCCUCCCAUCUUUUCUAGCCACAUGACCCUGAGUAUUUACUUAACUUCUCAGCCUUAAUUUCCUCAUUUGUGAAAUGAGAAUAAAAUUAAAUGCAAUGACAUUCGUAAAGUGCUCUGUAAUAUUUAAAUUGUGGUUGAGUUGUUUCAGUCAUGUUUUCUUGGCAGAGAUUUUGAAGUAAUUUGCCAUUUUCCAGUUCAUUUUACAGAUGAGGAAACUGAAGCCAACGGAGUGAAGUGACUUGCCCAGGAUCACACAGCUGUCACAUCCAAUUCAUGGCGACCCUAUUUGGGGUUUUCCUGGCAGAGAAACUGGAGUGGUUUGCCAUUUCUUUCCCCAGUUCAUUUGACAGAUAAGAAAACUGAGGUAAACAGGGUAUGUGACUUGCCCAGGAACUCUUUCCUAGCGUUCCAACCACCAUGCAACCUGACUGGCCUCUCUUUGUAUAUAUUUGGUAUUUAUCUGCUUUCAUAUUGCCUUUUCUCAAGAGAAUGUAACCUCCCUGAGGGCAAGAGAUGUUUCCAUUUUUUUGUUCUUUUAUUCCCAGCAACUAGCCCAGUAUUUGACCCAUAGUAAUUAAUGAUUAAUUAUGAAAUAACAAUGUCUAAUGUUAAUGAAUACUUAAUAACCAAAGAAAUAAAAAUGUAUUAAGUGAACA
rnacentral:lncRNA from 1 species